GACGAACCGUGCGAACGUUGUUCGGAUUCACUGGGCUUAAAGGGCGCGUAGGCGGGUGAUCAAGUCCGGGGUGAAAUCCUCCAGCUCAACUGGAGAAUAGCCUUGGAUACUGGUCGCCUCGAGGGAGGUAGGGGCGGGCGGAACUUCCGGUGGAGCGGUGAAGUGCGUAGAUAUCGGAAGGAACGCCGGUGGCGAAAGCGGCCCGCUGGACCUCUUCUGACGCUGAGGCGCGAAAGCCAGGGGAGCAAGAGGG
rnacentral:rRNA from 1 species